rnacentral:rRNA from 1 species
AUGACGCCCUCAAUCCUCGCCCUCACCUCAUCCGCGAACACCGCGCCACGGUCCCCGAUAGGCACGCCGACGCGCCACUCCCGCACGACGAGCCGCCGGUUAGUGAACUGGUCGGUGAGCAGCGGGAAGCAGAGCAUGGGCACUCCGGCCCACACGCUCUCCAGGACGGAGUUCCACCCGCAGUGCGUGAGGAAGCCACCCAGCGCGGCGUGGGAGAGGACCUCCACCUGGCAGCACCACGGCACCACCAGCCCGCGCCCGGCGGACGCGAACCCCUCGGGCAGCGGGUCCAGGUCGUCAGAGCUGACGAUGUCCGGCCGCAUCACCCACAGGAACCUCGCGCCGCUGGCCAGGACUCCUCCCGCGAUCUCAUGCAGCUCCUGCUUUGUGACGUGCGCGUAG